ACAGAGGUUGGAUACAACUACUGAAAACCAUUGUCUUCUGAGCACAGCAGAUUAUUGUAUUCACAAUACGUAUGAUUGCUUUCACAGAGCUGUACAAAUUCAAGAUGAAGCCAAUGAACAAUCCAGCAUGGAUAGAGGAGGGACUCAUGGGGCUCCAUCACCUGAGGAGGAGCUCUUGACAGUUGGUUACUGUUGGAGGAGAGAAAAUCUAUUAUCUUUUUUGAUAUGGCCCUGGUUGUUCAUAUUCUGAUGGAUGGCCCAACAUCACUGCACAAGCACUCAGCUCUAAGUGGACUUGGCCUCAUUUUUCACAGGCAGAAACAUCCUUUGAAAAAAAAAAGAAAAUUAAGAUCCAGCUUCACAUUUUCCCCUACAGAUGCUGUUCAGCUCAUGUGUGUGUAAUGGUCAGAGCUCCAACUGCCACCUUGGACUAGCAGACACUAUAAAAG
rnacentral:sRNA from 1 species